rnacentral:tRNA from 1 species
CAAGGAAUAGUUUAAUAAAAAUAUUAGUUUUGGAGAUUAGUGAUAGGAGUCUUCUUUUCCUUGA